AAAACCCUUAACUUGUCAAGCUGGUUGAAUUGUUUUCCGACGGGCUACUUUGUCCGCUAAUAACGCCACGGAUUAUCCGCUGAACCGUUUCCCGUGUGCCAUUUACCACGUCCUGUAAUUACGCUUCGCUCUUUAAGCCCUGACGUCAUUGCCCGCCGCUGAUACUUUCACUGCUCCGCGGCGGGACGCGCCUGUGUGCUGCGCUCAGGAAUUCCACCGGCCAUUUUCGAACGCCGAGGGUCUCGUGAGGGCAAACGGAAGCAGAAACGUUUGAACGUGUCCCUCUGUGGCGGCAGAGUGUAUCUGCUCUCCACCUAAUCCUGGACACAAAGCCCGGCUUAGCAGCACCUUUGUGUUCGUCAGGUAGGCAGGCUCGAGGAACAGGCCUCUGCACGCACGCGGCAGCAACCCUGCCGACACCGAGAACAUCUGCGGAGCCCGGUGGAAUGACGCGAGCACGCCGCGCACACAAACAUCUUGCAGAUGUGCCAAUCUUUAAAAGCACCCGGGGAUGUUCUUUCUGGAAGUUAUGAGGUAUUCAGAGCAGCUCCCACAGAGACAAAAAACAUGCAGAGGAAGUUGCAGCAGCAGCUGCAGAUUCACAGGAUCAACGUCCUAACUUAUCUAAAUUUUUGAUGGCAGAUUUGGUUAAUCUACAAACACUGAAGAAGAAACAAAGACGUCAGAACAUGAAAAAUAUAUGUGAAUAAAACAUUAAAAAAUACUUUCACUGAAGUUCGCUGCAGUCCAAAACCGCUUCCGUCCUCAUGAAUCUCUAUUUCAGACGGCAGGUUUGCUUUCUUCUUCUUCACAACACGAGACUGGAACCAAACUGCGACUUCACAG
ensembl:lncRNA